rnacentral:SRP_RNA from 1 species
GCUGGGCUUUGUAGCGUGAGCCUGUAACCUGAGUGGGAGCAUUAAGAUGCUGGAACAGUUGGGCUUGCCCUGAUGGCUGGGCUUGAGGUGUUAUCUUCUGUCCCACCCGUUCCAAGCGGUGAGUUGACGGAGGAGUUUUGGCGAAAGCGGAGGCUUCUCCGUCCUUAGAUUGGAGGGUAUUGUGUGAGGCUGGCUUUAUAGAACAGCGAAAACUUCCUCCUCUCUGCAGUGGAAGGAUAAUGGGCCGGUGCAUCCUCAGUCCACUAGCGCCUGAUUAACUGCCCAAAUUGAACCACCAUCUUU